GCGCAAUGGCCGUAAGGCUGACGCAGCGACGCCGCGUGUGNGAUGAAGGUCUUCGGAUCGUAAACCACUGUCAGGGGGAACGAAUGCGGGACGUCNAAUANGCGAUCUCGAGUGACGGUACCUCCAAAGGAAGCACCGGCUAACUCCGUG
rnacentral:rRNA from 1 species